UGGAUCUAUCUAUUUGUAGGGUGCUCUUCAAUCUUUUUGUAUUAGUAGCUUAGGUAUGCUGAAAGCAACCCACAAUAUGCUGAAUCCAGCAUUUUCUUGGUCAAAUUCCAACAACUUCAGGUAUUUACCUAACAAUAAUAACAACCAAAUUAUGAAAGAGUUGAUUGUACGAAAGAGUACUUGAAGAAUCACUUUGUCAUAAGCUCCUUUUUAUUUUCUUUUUCAGGUUUAGGCAGCAAUUCAUGGCAGUGGUGGUAGUAGAACUUCUGUUUCUGAGGUUGUGGAAGCAUCUGCCAUUUAUAUUCACUUUAAGGCAGCAGCGGGUGAGCCCUGUAUGAAGAUUCAGUUUAGAGUCUCAUCUUUUGCAAUUCACUUACUUGAGAAGGGAACACAGGAUUAAGAAACACAUCAUUUGCAGGUUAGUUCUCAUUACACAAACUGUAUAUGCAAGGCAGUAAAUUUUGUUAACUUAACAUGUUCGACAAAAUGCCAGUCUUCUACUAGUUGUAAUAAAUAAAGGAAGCUUGAUUGUUAACAUUGUACAUUUAUUCUUCUAUAGACAUGAACACAUAGUUAUAUAAGGUUUGCUAUUAGUAUGCGUGUCUGUCCUUUUUUCUUUUUUCUUUUUUCUUUUUUCCUUCCACAGACAAGCACACAAAUACAUAUAUAUUAAUUUUUAUAUAUUGUAUAUUGAAACCUCUAACAGUCUGUCGACGAUCACAAUACAUGUUUAGGCUGUCAGUCCA